UACAGAGGGUGCGAGCGUUAAUCGGAAUUACUGGGCGUAAAGCGCGCGUAGACGGUUUUGUAAGUCAGAUGUGAAAUCCCUGGGCUCAACCUGGGAACUGCAUUUGAGACUGCAUGGCUAGAGUAUCGAAGAGGGAAGUGGAAUUUCCGGUGUAGCGGUGAAAUGCGUAGAUAUCGGAAGGAAGACACCGGUGGCGAAAAGCGGACUUC
rnacentral:rRNA from 1 species